UACGGGGGGGGCAAGCGUUGUUCGGAAUUACUGGGCGUAAAGGGCUCGUAGGUGGCCAACUAAGUCAGACGUGAAAUCCCUCGGCUUAACCGGGGAACUGCGUCUGAUACUGGAUGGCUAGAGAUUGGGAGAGGGAUGCGGAAUUCCAGGUGUAGCGGUGAAAUGCGUAGAUAUCUGGAGGAACACCGGUGGCGAAGGCGGCAUCCUGGACCAACACUGACGCUGAGGAGCGAAAGCCAGGGGAGCAAAGCGGG
rnacentral:rRNA from 1 species